rnacentral:rRNA from 1 species
CCUACGGGUGGCUGCAGUGGGGAAUAUUGGACAAUGGGCGAAAGCCUGAUCCAGCCAUGCCGCGUGUGUGAAGAAGGCCUUCGGGUUGUAAAGCACUUUCAGUGGGGAAGAAAGCCUUGGGGCUAAUACCCUCGAGGAAGGACAUCACCCACAGAAGAAGCACCGGCUAACUCCGUGCCAGCAGCCGCGGUGAUACGGAGGGUGCGAGCGUUAAUCGGAAUUACUGGGCGUAAAGCGCGCGUAGGCGGUCUGAUAAGCCGGUUGUGAAAGCCCCGGGCUCAACCUGGGAACGGCAUCCGGAACUGUCAGGCUAGAGUGCAGGAGAGGAAGGUAGAAUUCCCGGUGUAGCGGUGAAAUGCGUAGAGAUCGGGAGGAAUACCAGUGGCGAAGGCGGCCUUCUGGACUGACACUGACGCUGAGGUGCGAAAGCGUGGGUAGCAAACAGGAUUACAUACCCCGUAGUC